rnacentral:rRNA from 1 species
CAAUAGUGUAUAUUAAAGUUGUUGCAGUUAGAACGCUCGUAGUCGGAUUUCGGGGCGGGCCGACCGGUCUGCCGAUGGGUAUGCACUGGUCGGCGCGUCCUUCCUUCCGGAGACCGUCCCUACUCUUAACUGAGCGGGGGCGGGAGACGGGACUUUUACUUUGAAAAAAUCAGAGUGUUUCAAGCAGGCAGCUCGCUCUUGCAUGGAUUAGCAUGGGAUAAUGAAAUAGGACUUUGGUGCUAUUUUGUUGGUUUCGAACACCGAAGUAAUGAUGAGAAGGGACAGUCAGGGGCACUCGUAUUCCGCCGAGAGAGGUGAAAUUCUCAGACCAGCGGAAGACGAACCACUGCGAAAGCAUUUGCCAGGGAUGUUUUCACUGA